ACCUUUGCUACGGAAUAGCCUCGGGAAACUGGGAGUAAUACCGUAUGUGCCCGUUCGGGGGAAAGUAUUUAUCGGCAAAGGAUCGGCCCGCGUUGGAUUAGGUAGUUGGUGGGGUAAUGGCCUACCAAGCCGACGAUCCAUAGCUGGUUUGAGAGGAUGAUCAGCCACACUGGGACUGAGACACGGCCCAGACUCCUACGGGAGGCAGCAGUGGGGAAUCUUAGACAAUGGGCGCAAGCCUGAUCUAGCCAUGCCGCGUGAGCGAUGAAGGCCUUAGGGUUGUAAAGCUCUUUCAGUGGGGAAGAUAAUGACUGUACCCACAGAAGAAGCCCCGGCUAACUCCGUG
rnacentral:rRNA from 1 species